GGAACCUCUCCCCGUGGAAUU
rnacentral:misc_RNA from 1 species